ACUCAAAUGAAUUGACGGGGGCCCGCACAAGCGGUGGAUCAUGUGGUUUAAUUCGAAGCAACGCGAAGAACCUUACCUGGGUUUGACAUCUCCGGCUAUCCCUAGAGAUAGGGAGUUCGUAGCAAUACGACCGGAAGACAGGUGCUGCAUGGCUGUCGUCAGCUCGUGUGGUGACAUGUUGGGUUAAGUCCCGCAACGAGCGCAACCCUUGUCUCUAGUUGCCAGCAUUCAGUUGGGCUCUCUAGAGAGACUGCCGUGGUGAACACGGAGGAAGGUGGGGAUGACGUCAAGUCCUCAUGGCCUUUAUAUCCAGGGCGACACACGUGAUACAAUGGACGGUACAGAGGGACGCUAACCCGCGAGGGGGAGCUAAUCUCAAAAAGCCGUUCUCAGUUCGGAUUGGAGUCUGCAACUCGACUCCAUGAAGUUGGAAUCGCUAGUAAUCGCGGAUCAGCACGCCGCGGUGAAUACGUUCCCGGGCCUUGCACACACCGCCCGU
rnacentral:rRNA from 1 species